AUGUACUCUAGCUUGCCUUGCAAUUCUAUUGGAUGGACUAGAGCAUACCCCACGGUAAUGACUGAAAAGUUCUCAAGUGAGCAGCCAGGCAUUUGUUCGAUUUACAUCAGAGGAAAUACGACGGCGACAAUCUUCAGAGCCCGACCACAAAGGUAUGUAGAUGAAUUUUGUACUGGAACAUGUCCAUACCACAGAGUAUUCACGUUCAUUGUACAUUCCAAUAGGAAACACAUAGCAUUGGCACGCAUCGCCACCCUGCACAAAAUUCUGAAGCUUGAACGGAACCGAUCCGAUGCACAUAACACAGCAAUGCAGCAUAUCAAAUCAUCUAUAAACACUCUGUGGUCAUUUUUUCGGAGUUCAGAAUGUCAGUAUUCAGGAGAGGAAUGUACCCUAGUCGGCUUUGAUAUAUUUUUCAGAAUUAUUUUUGGUCACGCCCGUCCCUGA
rnacentral:rRNA from 1 species